rnacentral:rRNA from 1 species
GACGAACGCUGGCGGCGUGCCUAAUACAUGCAAGUAGAACGCAGUUGCGAACGGGUGAGUAACGCGUAGGUAACUGCCUGGUAGCGGGGGAUAACUAUUGGAAACGAUAGCUAAUAACGCAUACUAACAGAUGGACCUGCGUUGUAUUAGCUAGUGGGUGGGGGAACGGCCAACCAAGGCAACGAUACAUAGCCGACCUGAGAGGGGUGUCGGCCACACUGGGACGGAGACCCGGGCCAGACUCCGACGGGAGGCAGCAGUAGGGAAUCUUCGGCAAUGGACGGAAGUCUGACCGAGCAACGCCGCGGGAGUGAAGAAGGUUUUCGGAUCGUAAAGCUCUGUUGUAUAGGAAGCGUUAUCUUACCAGAAAGGGACGGCUAACUACGUGCCAGCCGCCGCGGUAAUUC